AGAAUAGUAUUUAAAUAUAUAAAAUCUAUUUUGCAUAUAGACUUUGUUUAGUAAAACCUUUUCUG